UACGUCCUUGACUUCCGUACAAGUUAAUCAUCGCACUGAAUGAACACUAGUUUCAGCACACGAAAGUUUCACUUGAAAGCGCGCGAAAAAUGUAACAUAAUGCACAGAUUAAACGCUCGAAUUCACUCACGAAGCCACAGAAGUACUUGGAGCGAGACGUAUCGACAAUGCAAUGUAUUUGAAAAUGAGAGAAAAACAUGCUCACGCAUAAAUAAAUACAGGCAGAUACACUUGAAUAUUGUUCAUGUCACCAAAGGGCCAAGUAGACCAUGACAUCUACAAUGUGGACGGGAGCAGUCAACACAAAUACUUCUACAGUCGGCCGGAACAAAUUGCGAAGUCAAUGAAAA